AUUAAACGCUGGCGGCAUGCCUUACACAUGCAAGUCGAACGGCAGCACGGGGGCAACCCUGGUGGCGAGUGGCGAACGGGUGAGUAAAGCAUCGGAACGUGCCCUGGAGUGGGGGAUAACGUAGCGAAAGUUACGCUAAUACCGCAUAUUCUGUGAGCAGGAAAGCAGGGGAUCGCAAGACCUUGCGCUCUGGGAGCGGCCGAUGUCGGAUUAGCUAGUUGGUGGGGUAAAGGCCUACCAAGGCGACGAUCCGUAGCGGGUCUGAGAGGAUGAUCCGCCACACUGGGACUGAGACACGGCCCAGACUCCUACGGGAGGCAGCAGUGGGGAAUUUUGGACAAUGGGCGCAAGCCUGAUCCAGCCAUGCCGCGUGAGUGAAGAAGGCCCUCGGGUUGUAAAGCUCUUUUGUCCGGAAAGAAAAGCGCCGGGUUAAUACCCUGGUGUCCUGACGGUACCGGAAGAAUAAGCACCGGCUAACUUCGUGCCAGCAGCCGCGGUAAAGUACAGUG
rnacentral:rRNA from 1 species